ensembl:snRNA U1 U1 spliceosomal RNA
UCACUCACCUGGCAGGGGAGGUACCCUGAUCACGAAGACGGUUUUCCCAGGGCGAGGCUUAUCCUGUGCACUGCGAUGUGCUGACCCCUGAGAUUUCUCCAAAUGUGGGAAACUCGACUGCAUAAUUUGUGGUAUGGGGGCCUGCGUUCGCGCUCUCCCCUG